GACGAACCGUCCGAACGUUAUUCGGAAUCACUGGGCGUAAAGGGUGCGUAGGCGGCUUGGUAAGUUGGGUGUGAAAGCCCCGGGCUCAGCCCGGGAAGGGCACUCGAAACUGCCGAGCUGGAGUGCCGGAGGGGAGAGUGGAAUUCCUGGUGUAGCGGUGAAAUGCGUAGAUAUCAGGAGGAAUACCGGUGGCGAAAGCGACUCUCUGGACGGCAACUGACGCUGAGGCACGAAAGCGUGGGGAGCAAACAGG
rnacentral:rRNA from 1 species